CGGACAGGGGGGGUAAGAGAAGCGGAGGACCGGUAGGCCUCGUUUCCAGGCCGCGGUCGCGGUCGCGAAGGGAUGGAACCCCUACGUGUCCUGGAGCUCUACAGUGGCAUUGGUGGCAUGCACCACGCGCUGAGAGAAAGUCAUAUCCCUGCACAUGUGGUGGCUGCUAUUGAUGUGAACACUGUUGCCAAUGAAGUAUACAAGCAUAAUUUUCCUCAUACACACUUACUGGCAAAGACAAUUGAAGGUAUCUCACUGGAAGAGUUUGAUAAGCUAUCUUUCAAUAUGAUUUUAAUGAGCCCCCCAUGUCAACCAUUUACAAGAAUUGGCCUACAGGGGGAUAUGACUGAUCCAAGGACUAAUAGCUUCUUGUAUAUUCUAGAUAUUCUCCCAAGAUUACAAAAAUUACCCAAGUAUAUUCUUUUAGAAAAUGUUAAAGGAUUUGAAGUAUCAUCUACAAGAGGGCUGCUGAUACAAACGAUAGAAGCCUGUGGCUUUCAGCAUCAAGAGUUUCUAUUAUCUCCUUCCUCCCUUGGCAUUCCAAACUCAAGGCUACGAUAUUUUCUCAUCGCAAAGCUUCAGUCAGAGCCUUUACCUUUUCAAGCCCCUGGUCAGAUACUGAUGGAGUUUCCUAAAAUUGCAACUCUCCAGCCCCAAAGCAGUGCAGUACUUGCAGAAAAUACAUUAAGAGUGAAAAGACCUGAGCCAAGCACCUGCUUUGGUAGCAGCAGUACACAGCAUCCCGGAAAAGAUAGCAUUCUUUUUAAGCUUGAAACUGCAGAAGAAAUUGACAGGAAGCACCAGCAGGACAAUGACCUGUCUGUGCAGAUGCUAAAGGAUUUUCUUGAAGAUGAGAACACAAAUCAGUACUUUUUACCACCGAAGUUACUGCUUCGAUAUGCUCUUUUACUAGAUAUUGUUAAGCCUACUUCCAGAAGGUCCAUGUGCUUUACCAAAGGGUAUGGAAGCUACAUUGAAGGGACAGGCUCAGUGUUACAAACUGCAGAAGAUGUACAGAUUGAGAAUGUCUUCAAAUCGCUUAAUGAUUUGCCUCCGGAAGAAAAGAUAGCUAAGUUGUCAACACUUAAACUACGAUAUUUCACACCUAGAGAAAUUGCGAAUCUCCAGGGAUUUCCUCCAGAAUUUGUUUUCCUUUGCUUCCCUUGUUAUGCCAAAUCACACUGAAUAACUAAAUCAGAGAAAAUCAGUUUAUGGAAGCAAACUAUGAAAACCAACUAUCUACAGAAUAUAUAAAGAACGCUUACAACUCAGCAAUAAAAAGAAAAUAAUCCAACAUAAAUAUGUGAAAUGAUUUGAAUGCACAUUUCUUCAAAGAAGAUAGACAAAUAGCCAAUAAACACAUGAAAAGGCUGUUAAGCAUCAUUAGUUAUUAGAGAAAUGAUUUCCCGAGAAGAUAACAGUGAAGCAGCGUUACCGUCUCCUUGGCAACAGCCUCAAUGUGCAUGUAGUAGCAAAACUCAUCACAAUCCUGUGUGAAUAAUUUGGAUGUACCUCUGAAAGGUGUUAUAGUAUCCCUCCAAUUCUAGACAGUAAUUCUAAAGUACUAAUUUGAACUAAUUCAUAUAAAAUUUAACUAAAUUAUUUUAAUAGCAUUUUAGUGGGUAAUUGGGAACUUACUCAAUGCAUUCAAAUUGUUUUCUUAAAUUUGUAUCACUGUAUUCCAAAAACUUCACUUUACUGUAUCGCUUUAUGGGAAAAUAUUUUUAUAAAACUUUCAAAUAUGUAUAUUAAGUAUCUUUCAUAUGCUACAAGCAAAUUAAGAAUGUUUAAAUUUUUAUAUGUUUUUUAGUACUUUAUAAAGUAUGACAUGAAUAGUAUAAUGAUCUUAGAAAAUCAUUUUUGUAUGUUAAUUUUAAAAUUGUUUUAUGUACAGAGAAACGAAGUGGUAUGGACCUGGAAACAUCAUCCCUUCUGAGUAGCUUUCGUAGUGUUGGAAGAUGCUAUGCAUGCUACUGGAAGGAAAACAAUCGUCAUUCUUAACUAGCCGUGACUGCAGGGAGCUAUAAUAAUGGCCAUCCUGUUAAGAUGUGCCCAUGAAUGUUAUGAGAAUAACCAGCUGCUCUCUGAUUUGAUUUAAAGCCUGAUCCAUGAGAUGGAACCCAUGUCUGACACUGUUGUCUGGUUCAACAACCUGAGUCCAGAUAGGUCAUGGGCCCUAGGGGGUAACCUACUACUAUUAUUCUGAUAAAUUAACAUAGUAUUAAAUGAUUUCUGGUGGCUUAUUGUUAUAUCUUAGAUUAGUGUUCCCCUCAACACUCCUCAGGGAAGCUUUUUGCAGUAGAUGGCAAUACAGAACCCAAAACUGGUUAGCAUGCAGAGACUUAGAGACUCGAAUGCUCAGUCCUAAAUGGGACAGAUCACACUCCUCCCUGCCAUGGCUCAGGGAUCAUUGCAGAAGAGGGAGCAGAAAGAUUGUAAGUGUUUUCUAGGCACAGCAGGACAAUGCACACGUGAACUCAUAGCCGUUUGUGACAGCAUGCACAACACCUGCAUGAGCUUGAAUCCCAUACAGGGUUCCAGCAUUGAGAGUGCUAAAGUGGGUAUCAAGUCACAUUCUAGCUGAGAAGCUAUUGGCAUUUGAUAGCUGCUGGAAGAGAAAGGGUCGAUUUUCUUCAAGGGUGUGAUUCCUGGUAUGCGGAUCACACUCCAGGGCAGGCUUAUACUCAAGAAUAUUCAACACAAAUUGAUUUUUUAAAAAGAAGAUACAAAGUGAGGUAUUGGGGAGGUGAAUAUGAUUCAAAUAAAUUGUACACAUUCUCAAAGAAUUAGUAUUUUAAAAAAUAAAACAUUGUUUUAAAAUCUUA